CGGGUUUGUGAGGAGGUGAGACGGGUUUGUGAGGAGGUGAGACGGGUUUGUGAGGAGGUGAGACGGGUUUGAAGAGGAGGUGAGACGGGUUUGAAGAGGUGAGACGGGUUUGUGAGGAGGUGAGACGGGUUUGUGAGGAGGUGAGACAGGUUUGAAGAGGUGAGACGGGGUGUGUGAGGAGGUGAGACGGGUUUGUGAGGAGGUGAGACAGGUUUGAAGAGGUGAGACGGGUUUGUGAGGAGGUGAGACGGGUUUGUGAGGAGGUGAGACAGGUUUGAAGAGGUGAGACGGGGUGUGUGAGGAGGUGAGACGGGUUUGAAGAGGUGAGAUGGGUUUGUGAGGAGGUGAGACGGGUUUGUGAGGAGGUGAGACAGGUUUGUGAGGAGGUGAGACAGGUUUGAGGAGGUGAGAUGGGUUUGUGAGGAGGUGAGACGGGUUUGUGAGGAGGUGAGAUGGGUUCAUAAUAUCAGGUUUGAAGCAGGAGGUGGUGGACUGUUCAUCACUCCGGUCCACGUUGGGACUCUGUCUCCGUGUUCCGUGU